rnacentral:rRNA from 2 species
CCUACGGGCGGCAGCAGUGGGGAAUAUUGCGCAAUGGGGGAAACCCUGACGCAGCGACGCCGCGUGAAGGAUGAAGAUUUUCGGAUUGUAAACUUCUAUCAGCAGGGAAGAUGAUGACAGUACCUGACUAAGAAGCCCCGGCUAACUACGUGCCAGCAGCCGCGGUAAUACGUAGGGGGCAAGCGUUAUCCGGAUUUACUGGGUGUAAAGGGUGCGUAGGUGGCCAAAUAAGUCAGAUGUGAAAGCCCGGGGCUCAACUCCGGGAUUGCAUUUGAAACUGUAUGGCUAGAGUGCAGGAGAGGUAAGUGGAAUUCCUAGUGUAGCGGUGAAAUGCGUAGAUAUUAGGAGGAACACCAGUGGCGAAGGCGGCUUACUGGACUGUAACUGACACUGAGGCACGAAAGCGUGGGGAGCAAACAGGCUUAGAUACCCGUGUAGUC